GGAGAGGUGGCAGAGUGGUCGAUCGCGUCGCACUCGAAAUGCGAAGUACGGGCAACCGUACCGGGGGUUCGAAUCCCUCCCUCUCCGCCA
rnacentral:tRNA from 3 species